CUUCCAUCUGGAUGUGGGUAUAUAGGAGUUCACCUCACAAAAAAAUAUCAGUAAGAAGAACUAGUUUGUGGGGAGCCCACAGUCCAUGCAAAGGAAUCAACUAAAAGGCUAUCAAAGUGAUCCAGAUGACCUCGGGUCAGACUGGUGGCCUGGGUCACAUCCUUGCUUGUUCCCCUGAGAAAUCCUUCAAGAAGAGGGGACAAGCUUUUGUGCAGUUGCUGUUCCUGUGAAGCCUGGCCUUUUGCUCCGUAUUUGAGCCCUCUGCUCACCUCUUAGCUCAGCAAGCAGAGCAAGCAGAGCAAGCAGAGCAAGAAGAGCAUGAAGCACCUCCAAGAAGAACCUCUCUCACCCCAUGUCUGCCAUUUGCCCUCUGAAACUGCAAUAGUACAAAGUGAUGACAGCACCACAUAUGAUUCCUCUCACAACAGCUCAACUCUGCCUUUGUUUCCCACAUUUGUGGUAGGAAAGUGGCCACAGACAAUAUGUAAA